rnacentral:rRNA from 1 species
CCUACGGGUGGCAGCAGUGGGGAAUAUUGGACAAUGGGGGGAACCCUGAUCCAGCCAUGCCGCGUGUGUGAAGAAGGCCCUCGGGUUGUAAAGCACUUUCAGUGAGGAAGAACGCCUGGUGGUUAAUACCCAUCAGGAAAGACAUCACUCACAGAAGAAGCACCGGCUAACUCCGUGCCAGCAGCCGCGGUAAUACGGAGGGUGCGAGCGUUAAUCGGAAUUACUGGGCGUAAAGCGCGCGUAGGUGGCUUGAUAAGCCGGUUGUGAAAGCCCCGGGCUCAACCUGGGAACGGCAUCCGGAACUAUCAAGCUAGAGUGCAGGAGAGGAAGGUAGAAUUCCCGGUGUAGCGGUGAAAUGCGUAGAGAUCGGGAGGAAUACCAGUGGCGAAGGCGGCCUUCUGGACUGACACUGACACUGAGGUGCGAAAGCGUGGGUAGCAAACAGGAUUAGAUACCCUGGUAGUC